AAAUAUAAAAUACAAAGAAAUGUUAUUCUCUAUUUAUUUUUAUAUAGAUUAUAGUCUUUAUCUAACUGUUCUUAGUUCAUUUGAACUAAACCAAUGAAUUUGUCAACAGAACAAGCCUUACCAGUGGCUUCAGAGGAAGAGCAAGAAAGGCAUGAAAGAAGUGAAAAGAAGCAACCACAGGUCAAAGAAGGAAAUAAUACAAACAAAAGUGAAAAAAUACAACUUUCAGAAAAUAUAUGUGAUAGUACAUCUUCUGCUGCUGCUGGCAGAUUAACCCAACAAAGAAAGAUUGGGAAAACGUAUCCUCAGCAAUUUCCCAAGAAGCUGAAGGAAGAGCAUGAUAGAUGCACCUUAAAACAAGAAAAUGAAGAAAAAACAAAUGUUAAUAUGCUGUACAAAAA
ensembl:lncRNA novel transcript